rnacentral:rRNA from 1 species
GACGAACGCUGGCGGCGUGCUUAACACAUGCAAGUCGAACGGAAAGGCCCUGCUUUUGUGGGGUGCUCGAGUGGCGAACGGGUGAGUAACACGUGAGUAACAUGCCCUUGACUUUGGGAUAACUUCAGGAAACUGGGGCUAAUACCGGAUAGGAGCUCCUGCUGCAUGGCGGGGGUUGGAAAGUUUCGGCGGUUGGGGAUGGACUCGCGGCUUAUCAGCUGGUUGGUGGGGUAGUGGCUUACCAAGGCUUUGCCGGGUAGCCGGCCUGAGAGGGUGACCGGCCACAUGGGGACUGAGAUACGGCCCAGACUCCUACGGGAGGCAGCAGUGGGGAAUAUUGCACAAUGGGCGGAAGCCUGAUGCAGCAACGCCGCGUGCGGGAUGACGGCCUUCGGGUUGUAAACCGCUUUCGCCUGUGACGAAGCGUGAGUGACGGUAAUGGGUAAAGAAGCACCGGCUAACUACGUGCCAGCAGCCGCCGUAA